UGGGUGGUUUGGGUUGAUCCUCCUCCUCCAUUGCAUGCUGCCCUUGCUUUCGAAGACCUGCAGGCAGAGCUAGAACAAAGCUGGAUCCGAAGCCACAAAAUGCAGAAGCAAAAUAUGGAGCUGUCAAAGAAAAAUCUUGCUUUGAAGAAGACACUGAGAGAGAGAUGAGAUGCUAUUAGUUCUGGCAUUGUUGUUUGUUGGAAUGUGUGUUGUUGUGUUUUUAGUGUUGUAGUUUGCAGCAGUUUUUGAAGAGAGUGUGUGAGAGAGAGAUGACCUGAAUGUUGUUUGUGAUGCACUAUUGUAUGAAUUUGAAGAUCAUUAUUCUCUGCUCAUGCUUGUUGAAGAAAGUGUGUCUGAGAGAGCAAUUAUAGCACAUAUUGUACCAAAUAGAGCAACCUGGUACAACACUUUAUUCUAC
rnacentral:lncRNA from 1 species